rnacentral:rRNA from 1 species
AUGCCACCGCCUGACGCGGCCACAGGCGCCCUCAGCACACGCGUCUGCGCCUUCAGGCUGCACCCCAAUGUCGUCCGCAACUUCUUCGUGCACCACAACCGCGUCAAGGACAGUAGCUUCUUGUCGUCGGAGGAUGUCUCGAGGAUGUCUGGGUGCGUCAUCGGGAUGAAGAGCAGGCGGACGGUUGAAAUCGUGGACAGCCUGGACCUCCUGCUCGACCCCGUCUCAGGAACCCUCUGCCGCGCCUUGCUGGAGAAGAAGGAGCACUACAAGAAGCGCUUUCCUGGCUCCGUCGUCCUAGGGUGGUACUCUUCUGGGACUCGGAGCGCCGCCAUGCAGGACAUCGACAUCCAAAUCCACAAGUUGAUGGAUGCUAAGGGAAGAGCUUUUUAUCUUCUAUUAGAUCCUGCAAUCAAGCCCCCGCAGAUGGAUCUCCGUGUAUGUAUUUAUGACUCUGUGUUGUGCGCUACCGAUGGGAGUCCUCAGCUCAACCUUGUCAAAUUUAACUGUACCAUUGAGGCUAUCUCCACCCUUGGUUUCAUUAAGGUUGAUAACAAAUCUAUUGCCUGGGAUAGUGUUGUUGGUCCCGGUAAGGAUCUGGAAAAUCUCAUCCCAAAAUUCAAUUUUAUACAACCGUUGAUCGUUCCGGACGCACAACUUAAGUAUGUUUUUGAGAACAAACUUAAACUCAUUUGUUGGCUUGAUGCACGCAUUGUUCGUGAGAUGACGUGGAGACUAAAGUAUGUCCUGGGUGAAUUUGUACCUGAAGAAAAGGACAAUCUAACUAAUGAAUAUCAUCUUCCGCUGAGCAAGGAAUUGGAGAAGAAGGUAAAAGCAUGUGGAUUCAGUGUCUCACCACGAACGGUAGAUGCACCUCCGCUACACCUACAAUCGGAAACAUACCACUACUUACUGUCGAUCGUGGGUGUAGCGGGGGUGCAUCUACCUGGGAUUGACAGAGAGUUUAUAACCACUAUUGGUUACAUGUACAUACUAGAAUUAACUUCAGAUAGUCUCUUUGUGUUCUUGCACCAUAAAUUUAAUGACUGCUUUUAUGGGCGUCACAUGUCUGACCUCGAGUUUGCAAAAGCUAUUGCAGACCGUCUCCAUUUCUCCGAGGAAAUUAUACCAAACUAUGGCGAGUAUAGCAAACAAGAUAUACUGAGAUUCACCGAAAUUUUUUUGGCAGCUCCUGAUUUGAAAAAUGAUGCUAUGUCACAUCUCAAGCUAAUGGAGGCAGCAGCUAGUGAAGAUCCUUUGGCGGUUCCUGACAAGAAAAAUUCAUGUCUCAGAAAAGAGGAAGAUGAUAGACCCAAGAAGCCAGGGACAAGGAAGAGGAGAGCAGCUGAAAGUGCGUUCAAGAUGCAUGCUUCCAAUAAGAAGGCAAAGGUCGCAACACCGCCGAGCCAGAAGACAGGUGACAACAAGGGGGCUGUCCAUGUGGCGACCUUGCACCCGGCAAAGAAGAUGGGCAAGACCCUUGCAAGUAGGGCUGGACAGAAAGCUUGGGGCUCAAGGCUUUCGAGGCACAGCUGGGUUUGGCUCGGGCUCGGCCCGGCUCGAAGGUCCAACAAGCCAAGCGCAAGCCUCUGA